rnacentral:rRNA from 1 species
ACAGAGGGUGCAAGCGUUAAUCGGAAUUAUUGGGCGUAAAGGGUGCGUAGGUGGUUUGAUAAGUUAGGUGUGAAAGUCCUGGGCUUAACCUGGGGAUUGCGCCUAAUACUGUUAGGCUAGAGUACUGUAGAGGAAGGUGGAAUUUCCGGUGUAGCGGUGAAAUGCGUAGAUAUCGGAAGGAACAUCAGUGGCGAAGGCGACCUUCUGGACAGAUACUGACACUGAGGCACGAAAGCUUGGGGAGCAAACAGGA